UACAGAGGGUGCAAGCGUUGUCCGGAAUCAUUGGGCGUAAAGCGCGUGUAGGCGGUCCGGUAAGUCCGCUGUGAAAGUCGGGGGCUCAACCCUCGAAAGCCGGUGGAAACUGUCGGGCUAGAGUGCGGAAGAGGCGAGUGGAAUUCCUGGUGUAGCGGUGAAAUGCGCAGAUAUCAGGAGGAACACCAAUUGCGAAGGCAGCUCGCUGGGACGUUACUGACGCUGAGACGCGAAAGCGUGGGGAGCAAACAGG
rnacentral:rRNA from 1 species